AACGAACGCUGGCGGCGUGGAUAAGACAUGCAAGUCGAGCGCUGAUCGCGGGGUAGCAAUAUUCCGAGGUCGGAGCGGCGCAAGGGUGCGUAACAUGUGGGUAAUUUGCCGUGAAGUUGGGGAUAACUUGCUGAAAGGCGAGCUAAUACCGAAUGUGACGGCCGGAGGGCAUCCUCUGGUUUUCAAAGUUGGGGACCGCAAGGCCUGACGCUUCAUG
rnacentral:rRNA from 1 species